rnacentral:rRNA from 1 species
GAUGAACGCUGGCGGCGUGCCUAAUACAUGCAAGUCGAGCGAACGGACGAGAAGCUUGCUUCUCUGAUGUUAGCGGCGGACGGGUGAGUAACACGUGGAUAACCUACCUAUAAGACUGGGAUAACUUCGGGAAACCGGAGCUAAUACCGGAUAAUAUUUUGAACCGCAUGGUUCAAAAGUGAAAGACGGUCUUGCUGUCACUUAUAGAUGGAUCCGCGCUGCAUUAGCUAGUUGGUAAGGAAACGGCUUACCAAGGCAACGAUGCAUAGCGGACCUGAGAGGGGGUUCGGCACCCUGGAACUGGGAAACGGGCCCGACUCCCAAGGGAGGGAGGAGUGGGGAAUAUUGGACAAUGGGGGAAAGCCUGGUCCAGCCAAGCCGGGUGUGGGAAGAAGGUGUUUGGAUUGUAAAACACUUUUUGUUGGGAGAAAAGGCAGUUAGUGAAAACGUUGCCGUUUUGACGUGACCAAAAGAAGAAGCCCCGGCUAACUUCGUG